GAUGAACGCUGGCGGCGUGCCUAAUACAUGCAAGUCGAGCGAACAGACGAGGAGCUUGCUCCUUUGACGUUAGCGGCGGACGGGUGAGUAACACGUGGGUAACCUACCUAUAAGACUGGGAUAACUUCGGGAAACCGGAGCUAAUACCGGAUAAUAUUUCGAACCGCAUGGUUCGAUAGUGAAAGAUGGCUUUGCUAUCACUUAUAGAUGGACCUGCGCCGUAUUAGCUAGUUGGUAAGGUAACGGCUUACCAAGGCAACGAUACGUAGCCGACCUGAGAGGGUGAUCGGCCACACUGGAACUGAGACACGGUCCAGACUCCUACGGGAGGCAGCAGUAGGGAAUCUUCCGCAAUGGGCGAAAGCCUGACGGAGCAACGCCGCGUGAGUGAUGAAGGUCUUCCGAUCGUAAAACUCUGUUAUUAGGGAAGAACAAACGUGUAAGUAACUGUGCACGUCUUGACGGUACCUAAUCAGAAAGCCACGGCUAACUACGUGCCAGCAGCCGCGGUAAUACGUAGGUGGCAAGCGUUAUCCGGAAUUAUUGGGCGUAAAGCGCGCGUAGGCGGUUUUUUAAGUCUGAUGUGAAAGCCCACGGCUCACCCGUGGAGGGUCAUUGGAAACUGGAAAACUUGAGUGCAGAAGAGGAAAGUGGAAGUUCCAUGUGUAGCGGUGAAAUGCGCAGAGAUAUGGAGGAACACCAGUGGCGAAGGCGACUUUCUGGUCUGUAACUGACGCUGAUGUGCGAAAGCGUGGGGAUCAAACAGGAUUAGAUACCCUGGUAGUCCACGCCGUAAACGAUGAGUGCUAAGUGUUAGGGGGUUUCCGCCCCUUAGUGCUGCAGCUAACGCAUUAAGCACUCCGCCUGGGGAGUACGACCGCAAGGUUGAAACUCAAAGGAAUUGACGGGGACCCGCACAAGCGGUGGAGCAUGUGGUUUAAUUCGAAGCAACGCGAAGAACCUUACCAAAUCUUGACAUCCUUUGACCCUUCUAGAGAUAGAAGUUUCCCCUUCGGGGGACAAAGUGACAGGUGGUGCAUGGUUGUCGUCAGCUCGUGUCGUGAGAUGUUGGGUUAAGUCCCGCAACGAGCGCAACCCUUAAGCUUAGUUGCCAUCAUUAAGUUGGGCACUCUAAGUUGACUGCCGGUGACAAACCGGAGGAAGGUGGGGAUGACGUCAAAUCAUCAUGCCCCUUAUGAUUUGGGCUACACACGUGCUACAAUGGACAAUACAAAGGGCAGCGAAACCGCGAGGUCAAGCAAAUCCCAUAAAGUUGUUCUCAGUUCGGAUUGUAGUCUGCAACUCGACUACAUGAAGCUGGAAUCGCUAGUAAUCGUAGAUCAGCAUGCUACGGUGAAUACGUUCCCGGGUCU
rnacentral:rRNA from 1 species